rnacentral:tRNA from 1 species
GAGANAGUAUAGUGUAGUACUAAAGAUUUUGAGUCUUUGUGUGCAGGUUCAAGUCCUGUUUUUCUAA